GUGUAACACUUUUCUGCAGUGAGAGUGCACGUGUGGACACCUUCCUUGAUAGUCUGCUUCCCCCCCAUCCAGCAACAGAUCACACCACACUCCCCCCUCCCUCUCCCCAACAGUGCUUUCAAUAAACGGACAUUUGAUUUGAUUGGAA